rnacentral:tRNA from 1 species
GCCUAGUUAGCUUAGUUGGUAGUGCGUCUGCCUUGUAAGCGCUAGGCCGCGGGUUCGAUCCCCGCCUGGGGCG